rnacentral:misc_RNA from 1 species
UUUCCGUAGGUGAACCUGCGGAAGGAUCAUUAUUGAAUAAACCUGAUGUGGUUGUAGCUGGCCCUUUCGUGAGCAUGUCCACACCCGUCGUCUUUAUCUUUCCACCUGUGCACCUUUUGUAGACCUGGAUGUAACACUUUCCGAGGCAACUCGGUCGGGAGGAAUGCUGUCAGCUUUCCUUGAAUGUCCAGGCCUAUGUUUUCAUAUAACCCAUAGAAUGUAACAGAAUGUAUUAUUGGGCCUUGUGCCUACAAACUAUAUACAACUUUCAGCAACGGAUCUCUUGGCUCUC